rnacentral:tRNA from 2 species
GGUAGCGUGGCCGAGUUGGUCUAAGGCGUUGGAUUUAAGAAAAGGGUUUCCCCCCUUGCUUCCCAAUGAAGGUGACUUCGCGCGAGUUCGAAUCUCGCCGCUACCA